rnacentral:lncRNA from 1 species
GAUCCCAGUUGCAAGGUAGAUAAGACUUACCAUAAGAAUGGUGGGGCCUGGCCAGGUGCAGUGGUUCACGCUUGUAAUCACAGCACUUUGGGAGGCCAAGGUGGGAGAAUCACGAGGUCAGGAGCUGGAGACCAGCCUGGCCAACAUGGUGAAACCCCAACUCUAAUAACAAUACAAAAAAUUAGCUGGAUGUGGUGGCGGGGGCCUGUAAUCCCAGCUACUUGGGAGGCUGAGGCAGGAGAAUUGCUUGAACCUGGGAGGCGGAGGUUGCAGUGAGCAGAGAUCCUGCCACUACACUCCAGCCUGGCGACAGAGGGAGACAUCAUGUCAAAAGAAAAAAAAAAUACAAAAAUUAGCUGGCAUCGUGGUGGGUGCCUGUAGUCCCAGCUACUCUGGAGGCUGAGGCAGGAGAAUCGCUUGAACUUGGGAAGAGGAGGUUGGAGUGGGCUGAGAUUGCACAACUGCACUCCAGUCUGGGCGACAAAGCAAGACUGCGUCUAAAAAAAAAAAGAGAGGGUGGAGUCUGACCUCACCUCAUCUGGUUGGAUGCUGUGCUGCGGUUUGCAGAGCACUGGGGAGGUAGCCUAGUAGCAUAAAUUACAUUUCUAGUGGGCCCAGAACAAAGCAAUAUAACGGAUUGAUUCAAGCUGAUACUGAGUAGCAAAAUUUUGUUAAGAGCCAGGAAUGUACUGGAUUAUGGUGAUGAUUUUUGGAUGGGCUGGGGUCUCACGAUACUUCUAUGGCUGUUCUCCAACUCCUGGGCUCAAGCAAUCUUCCUGCCUUGGCUUCCUGAAGUGUGGGAUUACAGGUGUGAGCCACCAUGCCUGGCCAGAUGAGAAAGCUUCUGAGAAGUAAAAUGCUGGGCCACGGAGCUAACAUGUUUAAUAUUUUGGUAUGUAUUACCAAACUGCUCUCUGUGAAGUGCUAAGAAUCUCACUUCUGUCCACUGCAGUGUUUUUACCUGAUAUAU